rnacentral:misc_RNA from 1 species
GAUGAAGAACGUAGCGAAAUGCGAUAAGUAAUGCGAAUUGCAGAAUCCGUGAAUCAUCGAAUCUUUGAACGCACAUUGCGCCCGCUAGUAUUCUGGCGGGCAUGCCUGUCCGAGCGUCAUUUCAACCCUCAAGCCCCCGGGCUUGGUGUUGGGGAUCGGCGAGCCUCCGCGCCCGCCGUCCCCUAAAUCUAGUGGCGGUCUCGCUGUAGCUUCCUCUGCGUAGUAGCACACCUCGCACUGGGAAACAGCGCGGCCACGCCGUUAAACCCCCAACUUCUGAACGUUUGACCUCGGAUCAGGUAGGAAUACCCGCUGAACUUAAGCAUAUCAAUAAGCGGAGGA